GGGGCUCCGGGCUGGGGGAGUGGACGCCGCUUAAGGAAGGGGCCAUGCCCCACCGGCGGGGCGGGGGCCAACCGCGCCUCGCGCUCUGCCCCGCCCUGCCUUGGGCGCGGCGCACUUGGCACAAGCAGCAAAUAAUGGCUUCGGGGAGCGCGGACGGUGCUGGCCGGGGUGGCUCCGAGGCGACGGCAGUCGGGCAGCCCGUUAACGCCGGGGCGGGGGGGCUUCCUUCUUCCCCCCCCCCUCCCUCCCCUCUUGGUUCGGCCCGUCCCGCCCCUCCCGAGCCCGUGACAGGUGGAGCGGCACCCGACGCGUGCGCGCGCCUCCGCCCGCGGCCGUCACGUGGCGCCGCGCGCGCCUCGCGCGAGACUCGCGGCGCGAGGGGUCUCGCGAUGCCUCGGCGGCCCCGGGGCGUGAGGGCGGGGAAGGGCCCGGCCCGGGCUUGGAGCGGCGGGAAAGGCGCGAGGGAGGGAAGGGAAGAGGAAAGCCUGGGAAUUCGGGCUUCUGGGGACGCCUCGCGCGUGAGUAAAUGUCUGGAUUUCUUGGCGCGCCGGAGGGGAAGGGGCUUGGCUUUGCUGCUUUCUUCUCCUUCUUCAUACAGCUGACCCCCAGGCCGCCCUGUGGCUGGAGCGUUGUCUGGGCAUCAUGGAAUGGCCUGGGUUGGAAGGCAUCUUAAAGAUCAUCCAGUUCCAACCCCCUGCCAUGGGUCCCUUUCCACCAGACCAGAGUGCUCGGAGGUCUGUUCAACCUGGUCCUGAACAAUUCCAGGGAUGUGGCAUCCACAGCUUCUCUGGGCAACCUGUGCCAGUGCAUCACCACCAUCCUCGGGUUCCUUGGGUCCUCGACCCUUCCCAGCUCACCUGGGAAGCCGAGGAAUCAGUUUUCUCCUUACAGUGCCACGCAGCCAGGAGGCUUUAUGGUGUUGUUUUUUUAAGUGAGGUGUUUGUAAAUUGUUUUAUUGCGGCUCUCCUGUGGUACGUACGAGAAGGUGAGUCUACUGUGGAGGCACAGCUCAUCCCCCUUGUGCUGGAAAUGGAUCAGAACGUUGUUCCGUAACAAGUCUGCGUUGCUUCUCCAGUGUCAGGCUGAAGCCCCGUGUCUGGGCAGGCUUUUCCCAUUGGAAUUUCCUCUUCUAUGAUUGCUAGGUGCUCUAAAGCAAAGGUGAAGCCAUCGAGUGCCUUUGGGAAUUAUGUGAGCAAGGUCAAUGGCCAAACUAUGCAAGGGAUGUUCAGUCACAGUACUGUUGCUCGCUGAGUCUCCUUUAAUUGCUACCCUCAGAUCAUGUGCUCAUUAUGUUGAAGCACACUUCUGCCUCUGUAGGUGCUAAGGUAACACUUAUGCACCAGUGAUGUUUUCCAGGUGGAUCCUCACAUUUUUUUCUGGUCCCGAUGGUGCAGGGACACUGACGGGAGUGGAGAUCUGGGCAAGACAAAGUCUUGAAUAAUGCAAACAAAGACUCAAAUUAGGAUGUCCUGGCUCCCCUUAAAACCAAACUAUUGUCGUAUAGCUCUGCUUUCUCUUGGAAGUGCAGGGAGAACAGAAGAGCACCUGAGUUUGCUGAGGUUGCAUGUCUUCAUAAACAAGCAGCCAGUUUGUCGGAGUAUUUGUAUAAGAGUUUGGAGUGCAGAUAAAACCCAAGUUAUUUUUGGUUCUGGAAAUGGGCCACAGUCUACUAAUAGUGAAAACAGCUGUGAUCAAACAUCUGCCUUCUUCUGUAUUGUCCAUGGAUUCUCUGUCCUGUGUUUUCUCAGCAGUGUUUCCUCAGGUACCGAGCUUGGCACCAAGGACUUCACUGGCUGGGAACAUGCCAAAAAUAAGGUAUUUCAACACAGAUUGUUUCUGAGGUGUUGAGUUUCCACUUUGCAGUGUCCCAAGUAUAAAUCACCAGAAAUUAGAGAAGACAGAACCAUUUCUGGGUAGAAGGAAGGCAUCUGCUAAACUACAGAGCAAAUCAAGGGACUGUAGAAGCAAAAAAGAAUCUUAGUUCAGUUGGAAAUAUAAUGAGAAACUCACAUGCACCUGAAGUCACAACACCUGAGUGACUUCUCUAGUACUGUCAAUACUACUCUUAACCUCCCACAUCCUCCUGGAAUUGAAUUUCCAGAUGCCAUUUUUUCUUUAUUUGAUCUACUGCUUGGAUGAGUUGAGAGGUGCUACAAAGGCCUGGAUAUUGCUUCAGCUCUUCAAGGCUCAGAGUCUUUAAUAAUAACAAGAAAAGCUUGAGCAUGCACACUGAGGGUGCUUACAAACAGGCAGGUGACAAUUUUGGGGCUGACAAUGAUACAUGAUUACUUGUAUGAAAGCAGAGAGACUGUUUCAGACAAAUGUGAUGCCUCCAGUGCUGAGAUAUGCCCUGGAAGCUGAAUUCAGAGGGAAUGUGUCUUUAAAUUCAGGAGAAGGAAGGAAACUGCCCUGUUGUUCUGUAUCAACUAAGAGCCACUGAAUAACUGUAGGGAUGGAGCACCUCUCCUAUGAGGAAAGGCUGAGAGAAUUGGGAUUGUUCAGCUUGGAAAAGAGUGACCUAAUUGUGGCCUUCCAGUAUCUGAAGGGAGCCUUUAUAGAAAAGAUGGAGAGAGAAUAUUUACUAGAGCCUGGAGUGACAGGACAAGGGGGAAUGGCUUCAAACUGAAAGUAGGUUUAGAUUAGAUAAUAGAAAGAAAUUCUUUACUGUGAGGGUGGUGAGGCACUGGCACAAAUUGCCUAAAGAAGCUGUGGAUUCCCCAUCCCUGGAAGUGUUCAAGGCCAGGUUGGAUGGAGCUCUGAGCAACCUGGUGUAGUGGAAGGUAUCCCUGUCUAUGGCAUAUGGGGUUGGAACUGGAUGAUCUUUAAGGUCCCUUCCAACCCAAACCAUUCUAUGAUUCUAUGAAGUAUUAGCUGACUCAUUAGGUUUUAGCUUAGUUUAAAUGUGGAAGUUACCUGUUAGUCUCCAGAACCACUUUGUUACCUUCUGUGUGGAAGCUGUGGACUGAUCAGUCUGUGACUGAACACCACUCUUUGGAUCCCCCUUUCCUGUGUGUUUCCUCUCCCAUUAAUUUUCCAUGCAGUUUCUUUGUGUACUCCUGUACAUUGCCGUGCUGAAAGACCUGCCCAAUCUGUUAAGAGACUGAGCACUGCUGGUUCAUGCCAGAGAGACCUCAGUGUUCCAGGAAGGGGUUUGGCACUCUGGGAAUCUCUGCAGCUUGAAAUUGAGAUGCCAAGUUAAUGUGCCGCUUUUUGAAAGUAAUGUUAGAAACAGCAGAAGUUUUGUGUUUGAUUUCUCCUUGUAAAUAAAUACACAUCACCUGAUGCCUUGCUGAGCUGAAAACAGCUCCUGAAGUCACUGCCAGAAGAAGCUGAUUUGGAAGGAAGACUCUGCUCCAACAGUGGGAUUCAAGCUCUCAUCUUAAUGAUGUCCAAGGUAGUUGUAAUAUCUCAAGCAUUUGGGUUCACUGACAAAUAGGACGAGCCUGAGCACAUAUAUAGGGACACAAUCCCAGGAAAAGAACUUUGUGUAGCACGGAACAGGGAAAGGAUGACCUGCUUUCAGGUCUGCUUUUUCUUUGUGCUCUUACAUUAGUAUUACAUUUCACUGCCAUCAACUCCAAAAAUCAAAUGUGUAGUUUGCCAUUGUCAACAAGGCAGGUACCACCAACCUGCUUUCUCAAAACCACAUUUUUUCCUGGACAAAUUGGCUUUAUUUUGUGUGUCUCUGUAGCUUUUGCUUUACAAAAGGGCAGAGGUUCAGUGCAACAUUUCUGUGGUCAUACCAAGUGUACUGAAAAGCCAAAUUUGCUUCGUGAAGGUUUUCUGCCUUGAGAGGAUGACUGCGAUUCUCUUACUGUCUGACCUCCCCAUCUGGUCCAUUCUCAGAUGCUUGUUUCCAAGAAUAAGGAUUUAGAGAAACUAUUGAUUAUUUAUUAACAUAUUUGGUGUCACUUCAAAGUCAGGUAGCAAAUUUGAAGUAGAUGAGUCCCUACUGGAUACAAUUGCAAUCUUAUGGCAUUCUAUAGUCCAAGACUUACUAGCUAGUCACCUACAGCAAGAUUCAUCAUUUCAGCCCUUAGAAAAACUAAGGGGCUUGAAGUUGGGCAUAUCAGUUCCAACUGGGCUUUCAUUCCUGCUUUUUGAAGUUCUUGGCAGCUACAAGCCAUGAGCUGCUGAGGAGGUGAGGGCAGCAGUCAUCCCCUUCACACAAGAGUCUGAAGCAGCUCAGGAGGCACCUGUGAUCUCUGCUGACGCUGCUGUUCAGAAAGGAUUUUGAGGUGUGCAGUCAACAUCAUGCUCAGAAUGGCUCAGAGGACCUCAGACUCUAAGGCAAAUCCUUUUGCAGUAGCUCAGGAGCAAUGUGACAGGACAACAACCUUGGAUGUGUGGGACACAACUGAAAAACAGCAAAGAAAAAGCAGGCAAACCAAGAGAACUCACAGGGUACCAUUUUGUGUCUUACAAAAGAUAAAUCUAAUGCCUGCAUUUUUGCCAUCUUGCCAAAUUUUAGUCAAGUUGCCCAAAAUAUGUGAGUAUGGGCAUAUAAAGGAAAGCAGCUUAAAGUAAUACAACCUGACGAGAUCAGUCAGGGAGAAACCAUCCCCUUCAUUUAACCUCCCACUUUUAUUAACACAUGGUUUGUUUCUGCAUCUGUUUUCCUUACUGUUCUUUUCUUCAUUUACUCCAAGGUAAAAGCAGAAAAUCUUGAAUUGUUAAACUGUUUUGUUCUUGAAAUUGGGAACAAAAAAGCCCCCAGUACUUCAUUUUUGUAUUUUAGCAGUAGCUCCUGUGUUGUCCAGGAGUUCCCAAUAAAAUGAUCUGCAAAUUACAUUUUCUUUGUACUUCCCUCAUUAAAGUUCUGAUGAGUGUGUGUGUGAUCUGUGUUAUAUUUUGACAGUGUAUCGUGGUCAAGAAAGUGGAGGAAACUGAUGUAAAACUCAAGGGGUUUGUUUUGGUUUGAUUUAUUUUUUUUUCCCCAAAAUGCACAAAAAGACAAAUGUUCUUGCUGGCAGUAAGGAAAAUCAGUGCGUUUGUAGAAGAGUUACUGAAAAUAGAAAAUAUUGGGAAAAAAAGUCAUUCUGAUACUGUUUAUCCUUACAUUGAUGAAAAAAUUGCUCUUCAAUCUCAGAAAUACCUUACUAACUUUGGGUAGUAAGGGGAGUAAAAGUGAGCUGAUAUAGGAAAUGUGUUACUAUAAAGAAAAAAAGGAUAUUUUUCUUUCAUAAAGCAUUAAAAAACUAGUUAUUACUAAGUGCUUUAGUUAUAGACCUUAAUUAGUAUUGCUCUGUCUUGCUUAAAUCUUGCAGUCAUUUUUGUGUGUUGCACUCUAUUCCCCUUGGUAAACAUGACUUUUAAAACCUGGAUUGUCUCUGAAAGGCUUAAUGCUGAAAUUCAUCUGGAAUUUCAGUGGUGGUUCGUGGUCAUAAGAAGUGCCCACAGUUCCCAGGUAAACGCCAAUGUCCAUCACUGUGCAGCAACAUGGGAAACCAUGAAUUCGUAUGCAUGACUCUGAUUGUAUUUUGAGCCGCUCAUGAAAUUCAGAAAUCAGGGGGUUUGGAUCUUCUGUAGAUUUGCUGUGUGAGAGACGUUCUCUGCAUGUCAGCAUGAGCCCACUGACCUGUUUGCUGAAGUGUGACCAACAGAAGAAGAGACUUUUAGAAAAACUACCACUGUAUCAUGUUUUUUGUGCUCUGUGGAUCUGUAACACUGACAGUCUCUGCAGAGCUGGAGAAAUAAAUAAUACAAAAAAAUUAUACUUGUCCAGGAAGUGGUUCCUUUACGCUACUUCUGUUGGUAGAUUUUUAAUUUUAUUUACAGUCCUGCCUGUACCUCCUGCCCCUGGCAGCUCUGAUGGUGUCCAUUCAUGUGUAUUCCAGAUGUGGACUGCUUUCAUUUGUAGGAAUAGUCUUGGAAGGAGGAGGCUGAGACCUACCAGAGCACUUCAUUUGGCCCCCUCCCAGCCACCCUGUAUCCUGUGAUCCAGCCAGGGAAUAACAAUCACCUGCAUGAAUAGUUCUCACAACAGCAGUGCGCUCGGAGCGUUGCCUUUCCUGAUCGUCCUCAUCACGCGACACAACGUGGGUUCAAAAUUUGGAUCCCAAAUCUGUGGCACGUGUGCAGACAAACUUCAAGGCAGUCAUCCCAGCACAGAGUCAGCUUUUGCCAUAGGAGCAAGCUUGGGUACUGCUGGCAUGGCAUUGUCUCAAACUCCUGAGGAAAAAAAUAGGAAUUACCUGCAACAGUUAAUGCAGGGAGAAGCAGGGCAGGUACUGUACGAGAAGUUUCUCAAAGUCUUUCUGUCAGCACCACCUUUUGUUUUCAUAUGAUUUUGUGUGUUAUAGUCUGGGGCACAAUCCUUGAACAAAACAACAACAACUCUUUUUCCAUUUAAAGAAAGUCUGGAUAGAAUAGUCCUCCAGCAGGUUAUUGGGGCAGACUUCCAUUCCUGUACAUAUGAGAAACGUGUGGGAAUAGAGGUAACCAGCCAGCCUGUAUCCCAGACUGAUGCCUGAAGGUUCCAUUGUUUAUUUUUUCACAUCAAUAACAAUAUUGUAAAAAUAACUUUUCAGCUGAACCGAUUUACACACUCUCAGAUGGCUGUUGUUCUUUUUGUCCUUCCUUGGCCGUCCUCCACAGCCUUGUAAUGGAAAUCACUGCACAGUUCUCUGCUCAGCCUUUGGAUUUCUAUCUCUUUAUAGGGGAGAUGUGUGUGCUCCACAAGUGUGUUUUUCCAGGAUUCUUCCUUGUCACGCUGUAAAAUUGAUGCAAAGCACGUCCUGCCAUUUUUCUAAGCAGAGGGAGAAAUUGUGUCAUCCCCCACAACAGGCUCUUCAUUGCCACUUGACCUGUCUUCAGUCCACUGUUCAGUCCUAUCCAUAGGUAACCUCUCUUUUUAAUGGAAAGUGUUUUGGUUUAGAAAAAUGUCUGUGUUUCUCAUGUGGGUUUUUGCCCUCACUUUACUUCAAUUUGUAUUUCAAUAACAAAGCAACUAAAUAUAAUAUAUAAAAAUCCAUUUGUUUUCUGAAAUUAAGUGAACUUCAUCCAAGCUCAAAAUCCUGACAGUCACUUUUAACAUUUGGAAGAUUUUGCAAGCACACACUGCAAAAAAUAUUUUGACAUCUAGGCUGUCAGAUAAUCUGUCAGCAACAGUUAUAUCAUUCAGGGAGAGAACUGUUAAUUUCCAGAGUAAUUUAUUUGGAAAAUAAUGCAUUUACUGCAGUGAAAUAUCCUACUGGAUGCUAGAGAAGCUACUUAGCAUUUGUGCAGGCAGAGUAGUUGGCUUCAGAACGUGAGUUAUUCUCUUGCAACAAAAACACAGGAAAAGAAAUUCUUGCCAGAAACCAUCAGUGAAGAGCAGGUACCUGCAAAGGGCAGGAUGGUCACAGACGUGCAGGAAGUGUUAGGAACUCCAUGCAGAAGGAUGUAAUGCCUGGAGAAAAGGAGAGGAGUGCUCAGGGUCACACUCUUUACAGAACAGGCUCCUGGGGCACAAGGGAUCAUACACCAAAUGCUUUACUUGGAAUAAUCUUUAAACGCCAGGGAAGUUGUCAGCACUGUGGUGCUGUGCCCAGAAAAAAAAAAAAAAAAAAAAAAACAAACCAAAAAAAUCUUCCAAUUCUGCUUCAGUUUUCUCUGUCCAUUUAUUUAUCCAUUACAAAUCGAUCUCGUUUCUGUAGGAAAAUGUCAGAGCAUUAUGUGUAAUGAUGGUGAUGAUCAUACCCAAAGGGCUCAGAGGACUAAAGCCCAGGUCUUGUCUACUUGUGCUGUUGGAUGGUGUCAAUCUGAGGCUGCAUCAUGUUUCAUCUGGCAUAAUUUGUGCCCCAUCCUGAUUUACACAUAAAAUUUAAGUUAUAGCUGUGAUUUCUUUUAAAGAAAAUAUGUGCUUUUUCAUGCAUUUUACUGUGUAAUUAACAAACAGUAAAUUUGUUACCCUGCUUAUUGCUUUUGUUGGCAAUGAUGGCAACAAAAGCUGUGAUUUUACAGGAAUAAGCAAGGCCAGGUCAUGGAGGAAGACUGGCAACUUUAAAGAUUAUUCAGCACUUAAAGAAAGGUAUUUGCAACAUGGGCAAUCUCAGCUUUCAAAUUCUUCUUAACUCUGUCCCUGUCUAAUUACUCCCCCAAGUCUCACUGGCACUUACCUUUCAUUGAUGGUUAAUGCCACUCUCAGAGCUCUGUCAAGCUGCUUCUUCCAGAGGCUUUUUUUCUGUGCUCCCCCUGAUGCAGGAGAUGUUUUCUCUUUUCAGACAGACAAAGCCAUUAGAUCAAGUUGAUGAAUUUUGCUCUGAGUUUCCUGUGUUCCAAGUCACUUUUAGAAAUUGCAAAACAAAAUGUAUAAGACACCCUCUUUAGAUUGUUAGACCUUACCUCAUCUGCAUCAACCUUUUAUUCUGUUGCCAUUUUUAGUGGAAAGACAACAUUAUUGUGGGAACUUCUGUGUUUUAUCAUUUUCAUUUAACUUCAGUUAAACUAAAAAAUUAUAAACUCUUACCAUAUUUAUCUUUAUCCUCCUUAUUUGUCCUUAUGCAUUCUUUUUUUUCUGAGGCAAAUCAGAAGAGGGGGAAAGAAAAGGGUGAGGGUAAAAGGAGGAAAGAGUAAAAGAAGAACAAAACAAAGGAGAAAAAAAAAGUUUUUAUACUUAUUCUUGGAAAUUUUUAACUUGAGAAAAUACCCUAUUUAAAGGGUUUACAGUUAUUUCGUACAGAAUAACAGUAGUUUUGUCUUUCUAAAAAAUUCUCUGCCAUUUCUACUGUAAAUUAGCAUAGCUCCACCCGGGUCAAUUGAGGACAAGUUGCACAAACUUUAGCCACUGUAUUAGCCCACAUUUAAUACGUUUUAAAAUACUUCAUCCGAGUUGACAAGAUGCACAUAUGGUUUCUGAGUUAUGGAUUGAAGGGCUGGAGCUUUUAGCCUUCCUCUCUGUCUCCUCACUGUCAUAUUUCACUCACAAUCUUACUGCAUCAGACUUGGAUUAUCAGCCUUUUUUUGCCCAUAAAGCACCCAGCAUAUUAAUGUUUUGCAUAAAUUAUAAGAAAUUUAAUCCAAAAUCAACUAAAAAAUAUUAUUUUGCAAAAUGGCAGCAGAUUUUAAAACUGAGCAGUCCAAGCUUUUCGGAAUGUAUUGUGGAUGUUGUCGUGAUUUAUGUGCUGUCAGUUAUUUUUGUGUAUGUUGAAAAAAAACCUGACAAGUUUCUAUCUCACAUUUCAUAAAUCAGGGUUUUCUGUAUACAAAGCACGUGUCAGAAAUCAGUAUCUAAACAACAUGCCAGUUGGCUUCUCCAUGUGGCAGCUUGUAAACAAAAAUAUUUGGGGACUGCGCAUUUGUGACAUGACAUGUAAGGCGAUGUAAAAACACCAGUUAUUGGGAAAUAAUCCUGUUCCUCUACAUUGCUAAUAACAUGAUAAAUCGUGCUUGCACUGCUGCGUCACAGUUCAGCAGGGGGAACUUUCCAAAUUCAGGUGGUUCUGUUGGUUUUUUCCAAGUAGGUGUAUGGAGAGGUUAAAUACUUUAUUAGUGACCUAUCUGUGCAUCAGAGGGCUAUGUCAAAACUGACGGGGUGUUCUGUGCAUUUGUCUUUAAGUUUUCCCCAUAUUAAUUGUGUUUUGGUCAGAGACAAAUUCUGGUUGUACUGAAAUCAGUGAAGGAUUUUCCACCAACUUUCAGGGAACUUUCAGGGAUCAGGAAUCAGCUGUCAGAGGACAGGGGAAUUACCAGGGCAAACCAUGCCAGCUGUUCACACAGCGCAGGUUCCAAGAUGUGAAUCAGCAUCCAUGAGAUUUCAACUCGAUAUGAUGAGAACACAAAAUACAACACUGCAAAGUAUUUCAUUCCCUGAAAGCCAAACCAAACAGGACAAGUCUUGUGGAGAAGAUGCAAAGACACAUUUUUACAUCUUCCCAGUAUAAAUGCAGCUGGAAAAGGCUAAAGCAGGUCACGUUUAAGGAAUAAAAGGUUGAGCAGGAUAUGGGAAAACCAGAAUGAACUAAAAGUAGUUGUUACGUGACUGGAUGCUGUUUGAAUGACCAUUGCAGCACAGAGGGUUUGAAGCAGGGCUGAGGAUCAUCAACAGGCCUAACAUUAGUACAUCACAAAGUGCAGGACAUGAAAGUAAUUUAAAACCCCCAAGAAUUUUUAUUAUUAGUCAAUGAUGCAGGUUCUUUUAACAUUUUAUCCAUUUUUUUGGUUGUUGUCAAGCCGGCAAAUAAACAUUCAUAGGAUCCUCUAUGAAAUAUGAUUUCUUUUUGUUCUUUUGCUGCUACAUCUAGUUAAAUAUUCUGGCAUUUCUGUUCAUGUGUCUUGUUAUGUUUUGUGCCACAUCCAUUUUUGCAAAAUCAGACACCAAAUAAGGAAAAAACAAUUAAUGAACUAUGCAAUAGGUAAGUAGCUUCCUAGUGUUGUGACAAGGGGGGAAAAAUGCUGGUUUUAUUCCCAUAAAUCAAAGUAAUCAUGCAAAUAUUGAACUUUAUAACCUUAAUUUGUUCUCAUAUGUUUCAAAAUUUUGCUGCUACUUUCAGCCAAACAUGAAUUAAUAAUGGUUCCAAAUGCCUGUAGAUUAUUUAAUUAAAACAGAGUAAAUUCAUUUUUCAUUCUCAGCUAAGUGACAUAAAACAGACUUUGCAGGGAGAAGGCCAUACUCAGGAUUCUGAUGUCCCUGAAGAUUCUUUAUCUCAAGAAUUUUAAUAACGUCUUUACUGUUUUCUUCCUUUUGUAUUAACACACUCUGUGGUGUUUUGUCGUUACAGUAGACGUCCAUAAUCCCAAAUUAUAUUUCUGUCCAAGGUUUGGGGGGGUUUUUUUGGUAGUUUAAAUGUUUUUUUACUGGUUUUUUUAUGUCCAACAGUCUUCCUGCAGACUUUCUGUGGACUUUUGUAGUUCAGACUCAUUUGUUUAAUUGAUAAAUAGCUUUGCACAAAAUUUUGUACUCCCAACCAUAGUUUUGUAAUUAUUUCAAAAGAAGGAAACUGAUAAGUCAUUUAGGAAAAAAAGGAAGGAAGCUGAUUAUUGUCAAUUAACAUAAAUUCUGACAUGCAAACACCAGAGAGGAAUGGAAUAGUGCAAAAGCAGGCUGAAAACAACAAAUUGUGGUACUCCUGGCCAACUUCUGUGAUCACAUUUGAAAUACUGAUUUCAGUUUCAUCUUGUUAGCAGAAAAAUAACUAGGGAAGUUACAAAAGAACAGAAAACUGGCAGGGAGAUUAAAAGUUAUGAUUUAAACAGCAAGAUGUGAAAAAAAACCCCAAACAUGAAAUUGUUACUGAUUAUCUUAAUUAGCAAUCUCUUGAGGAGUGAGUGGAGUUACUAAGCUCCCUAAGGUUUGGAUCCCAAGGUUUGACAUUAUGUGUUUACAGUUUCAGAGACUAAAAUUAUCAGGAAAAAAAAGGGAAUAUUGACAGUGUUUAUUGUGCUUCCUGGUUAUCCCAUUCCCAAAUUUGCCACGUGCUUGGGUAUAGUUCUAAAAUGGGCUUAAAUAUUCAGGAUUGAAGUACAAUUGAAGUAGAUAAACUGAGGGAGCCCUACAGCAUCUGGUAGGGAACUAAAGUGCAACUCAUUAAGUAAAAUGAAAGAAAAUAGAUGAAAUUUAAAAAUACAAGAUUCAGGCUAAUUAUUAGCAAACAUUUAGUUACUGAUGUCUACAUGGCAGCAUAAAUCAUUCCUUUGAACAUUUAAACUAGAUAGGAAAAGACAUGGAAAAAUCAGUGAUUAAUUCUGUAUUGGUUGGAUGUAUUAGGAUGACUAAUAGAAUAGGUUUUUAGUAUCUAAAAUCUGUACUGCAUCCAUCUGAAACUGCAUAUACAGGCAUGCAAGGGAUACAAGAAUUUGACCCUAUAAUUGGUAAAAUCCAAUGACUUCAGUUUGGCGAGACAUCACCAAAGUACUCUGUGCUGCAUGAGAAUGAAGACUAUAAAUAAGUAAUGUAUUUAUUUUUAAAUAAAUGGGAACAAGUAAAUUUUCCCAUAUCCCUAAAUGCUCAUAAAUCAUUGUGAUUUACUGUGUCAGUCUUAUUUUUCAGUUCUGCCAUCUAUUUCAGUUCUCUUUAAAGACUGUACAUAUGGAGAGAUCGACUACAAGAUUUUCAGUCUCUGGAAAUCCAUAUCUGCCAGGAAAAAAAUGUCUGGAGGCCAAGAUUAUCCCUUUACCUACGGGAAGAAGUGGCAGCACUUUUAAUUAGGCAUUGUCCCAACCAGAACUGCAUUCUCUCUGUUACCUCAGGGUCUCUGGGAUAUAGCCUGCCUUUGUAUAAAGAUGUGUGUUGAAGAUUUACUGGAAGGAAAGGAAAUAACAGGGCUCAUGAGUAACAUUUGGUGUGGUUUGGGUGCUGCAGGGGUGGGCAGCUCAGCUGGAGGUGUUGUAAGAAGGGCCCAAGUAUCACAUCAGCCCAGUUGUGGGUCAGUGUUCCUGCUGACCAGGGUGCUGGGAGUGAACAGGGAGACUGGAGCUGAACAUGAGCCAGGAGUGUGCCCAGGUGGUCAAGAAGGCCAAUGGCAUCCUGGCCUGGAUCAGAAACAGUGUGGCCAGCAGGACCAGGGCAGUGAUUGUCCGCCUGUACUCGGCACUGGUGAGGCCACACCUUCAGUCCUGUGUCUGGUUCUGGGCCCCUCAGUUCAGGGGGACAUUGAGGGGCUGGAGUGAGUCCAGAGAAGGGCAAUGGAGCUGGUGAAGAAUCUGGAGCACAAGUCCUGUGAGGAGCAGCUGAAGGAGUUGGGGGUGUUUAGCCUGGAGAAAAGGAGGCUCAGGGGUGACCUUACUGCUCUCUACAACUCCCUAAAAGGAGGUUGUAGCCAGGUGGGUUUGACCUCUUGUCCCAGUCAGCCUGUGACAGGACAAGAGGACACAGUCUUAAGCUGGGCCAGGGGAGGUUUAGGUUGGACAUCAGGAAGAAUUUCUUCACAGAAAGGGUGAUUAGACAAUGGAAGGGGCUGCCCAGGGAGAUGUCACUGUCCCUGGAGGUGUUCAAGGAAAGACUGGAUGUGUCACUCCAUGCCACGGUCUGGUUGACAAGGUGGGGUUGGGUCACAGGGUGGACUCAAUGAUCUCAGAGGUCUUUUCCAACCUCAUUGAUUCCGUGAUUCUGUGAUUCAGCUUUACAGAGUGCUUUCUAUAAAAAGCUCCUUUUGAUGUCUCUCUCAGCUUCAUUCUGCUCAUUUUUCAUAUGAAAGCUAAAACUUUCUUUCCCUGCAAUUCCUCCAUUUUACAUCAGUUUGCAGCACAGUGAAUUAACUCUUCCAAACCAGGAGUCGAUAACGUCUUGCUUCAGGAGGUGCCUAAUCACUGUGAUAAAUUAUCCUAAAAAAAAUGAGAGACCUUUACAGAUGACAUUUUCAUUUGCAGUGAGUUGAAGAUGGGUUUAGCAAACAGCUGCUUUCCACAACAGCCAGGAUUAGUCAUCUUACUCUUACAUCAAGCAUAAAGUAGUUAUUUUAUAUGGGGAAUUACGAAAGAGCCAAAUAAUUCUGGAUUAUUGAUCUAUUUGUCUGCUGGGAGGUUGUGAGUGAAAAAUCUUUUGCUCUGUUGUUCUUAAUUCAGAUGUCAUUAGUGUAGAGGUUACUCUGGGAUCACUAUGAAAGAAAUUGAUAUAAUGCCCACUGUGCUGCAAAAUAUGCUUCUUUCCCAAAUAAAAAUAAAUGGAAGUUAACAGAAUAAAAUGUGAUGUUUGGUAACUUAGAAACCAGAAUGUUUUUCAGGAGCAAGAUCAAUCAAUGGCUGCUAUUAAAACAUGGCUUAAGACCUUGUAGAAUUGCACUUGAUACUUUAGACAUAAACAGCCUAACCACAGUGUAAUCAGUAAUUAUUACCCCUGUCUUCUAAAGGAUCUAUUUGCACUUACUUUCUUUGAGUAUCAUCAUAAAGAAGCUCAAUUUUAUGUGUGGUAUAAAUAUACUUUUUCUGAUUUCACAGUAAUUGCCUGUGGUCGUUUAAUUUGUCGCUGUGACUGAGACCUUCCCUCAUUUACACUUCCAAAGUCCUGUCGACUCUGUGGAACAGUAACAUGUUGUGUAACUGCGAAAAUUAGUGCAGGGAACGAUGCUGUAAAUAGCAUUUGCACUGAAAAGUGAAGCAUUGCUUGCCCUUGUUUAACUCAAGUAAUCCAGAGUGCUUUGUAGUAAUUUCUACUGUCCGUUUUUCUAUAUUUAGAAAAACAGCUGUGUAUCUUUUGUAAUAACCAAUAAGAAGCUGCAGAAAUCUUCCAGCUCAGAGCAGGUGUUUACAGGUCCUUGCCUCUCUCCUGAUUUACGUGGUCCCAGUUUGCAUAAUGGACGAGUCACCUUCCAGCACGCAGCGUUCCGAGGUGCCCAGCUGAAGCCCUUGGAUGCACCUGCCUGCCUGGAUCACAUCACGCUCCCCUUACAUCCCCUUUCCUGCUCCUCUACUCUGCUUUGCUGCCUGGUUUAAUUUUGUUCACCUGAAGAGCAGAAACAUUUUGUCUUUCUAAUUUUGCUACUUCCUUCAAGAAUUCCUCCUGUUUCUCUUUAUGGUUGAGUAGUUGUAAAGGUCCACUGAUCCCAGGCCAGAAGGUGUUUUGGCCUGAUCAGAGGGGCUGGAUGUAGGGUCCAUUCCAUUGGAAAGCUCCCAUUCCUUGUUUCAAUAUUGUUGUUGCGUGAGCAACUUUGAUCACAGCUGAGUUCUAGGCACAGACCUCAGCACUGCCCAGGAAUCUCAGUGUGAGCUUAGAAUUUAAAGGGAUUUUAAGAAAUGUUAUCCAAAUUCUUCUGAUGUCAGCAUAAAUUAAUAUGCAGAAGUGAGAAGGAGGAUUUUAUGUGUUGAACAGUGUUUGUACAAGGAGGCCCUUUAGUGAACACAAUGACUUGGAGCAGGCUGUGGCUGCUGUAUGUGUAAGGUGCCAAAGGACUUUUUUGUAGACUUUGUUGGAAAGAAAUAAAAAUCCCUAUAUAUUUUUUUUCUUUUUUUUUCAGUGGAAGAUGCCAUUUAUUUUGUAAGCAGAAAGCAGCUGUUUGCAGCACUAGACAUUGAACUAGGAACUCUGUCUGUUGACUAAGAGCCUUUAAUAAAUUCACAAUUAGGCAAGGCCAAAAGUAAACUGGGAUAUCCAGUACUACCAAUACAGAUUAAAAAAAGAAGAAAGAGAACCCUGGGAUAAAUCUGAACCAGCUGAGAGGACAGAGAGCUGCCUGAACCCAAAGCAGACUCCCUAGGAGGUUAGGAAGAACCACAGGAUCACCUGCCCCACCUCAAAAGUAUGAUGGAGUGGCCAAGGUGAGGACUUGAUGGAAAAAAGCACAGUGAAUUUCAAGCUGAGGAAAGGAAAUGUGGGAGUGAAAAACAAGGAGGAUCUGUUUUUCCUCAGAUUGUCUGGACUCUUGCAUUUGCCAGUCCUCCUCCUUGCCAGGAGGGGAAGUGCCCUGUUCCCUUCUUCUUUAUGUUCAUUCCCAGCCUGGCUUUGUGUGGCGAGGCAGCGACGUUUCUCACUGAGGGACAAAUUUGAAUUCUUUGAUCUUAGUAUCCUAAUUUCACAUUUGCCAGGUAAUUAAAAACAGACAAACUUGCACGCACACGUUAAAAUGCAGCAAUGUAUUUAUGAGCGUAAUUGAGCUGUGAUCAAUUCCUCACAUUUCACUACAAACUAAUAAAAAGCCAUUAAAGGGCAGUGAAUGGACCCUGCCAGGAGCAGGCCCGUAUCCCCUCUGUUCUGUGCAGUCUGGAGCCACACACAGUUUUGCAAAGCAUGGGCUGACAGGACAGUGUGGCAAUAUCUCCUACCUGCUUUGCACACGUGGAAGCAGCAGUGCAAGCUGUGAGAACAUCGGGUGUCAGAACAGCACAGAGCUCUCGAGUGCCCUGCACACUCCAGCCUCCGUGCAGGAUAACGGCAUUCCUUCUGCUCCCGAGACAAAGAGGGACUUGCUUUUUCUCUCCCUUUCCUUCAAAACAGAGACUACAGGGACAGAGGGAUGUUAUCUUCUUGCUAAUGGCAGCAUCUCGGAUAUGGAUCACCUCCGAGUUAUCCCUCUCGACAAACAGGGCUGUGAAACCAUCGCUUGGUGUCCUGGCAGGUCCCUGCCCAGGGAACCCUGAGCAGCUGCUGCCUUCUCUCCGCCACUGACCACAGGUUUCCCUUUGUCACCCUGUGCAUUUGAGGGGUUUUAAUCCACCUGGAGCGUGGAAUGUAACUGCACAGAGCAGGCACAGAAAGAGGGCUCUAAAUGCCACGAGUUCAGUGAGCUCAGUUAAACACAGGAGCACCUGCCAGCUCUUCCACCACGGCCACAACCAGCUCUAGCUAAGAACUUCUGAAAUACCCCUUCUGUGUUAGAUAUACUGAUUCCCUGAUGGCUCCUUGCACCAUUCGCUCCUGCCCCCAAAUCCAUGAAAUGGUAUCAUCCAGUUUUGCUCCUCUGACAUUUGAGGAGGCAGAGAAAGGCGCAACGAGGGAGUAAAAAAAGUGUAUUUUUAGUUCUUUUUAAUGCCUUUCAGCACGAUUGCUUUCUGGUUUCAAAGGAAACGUAACUGAAACCCAAUGUGGUUUUGGAGUGAGGAAAAUGUUAGAUAAAAAUUAGCAUUUUAAAUCAGGGAAAUGAUUUGUGAAUUAAAAUACUUGCUUCUUGUGGCUUUGUAGAAUCACCUCCCCUUUGCCUUCGGGGUAGCCAGAACAAUUUUCAGGCCAAACCAAUAUUUGAAUUCUUGUUCUUCCCAAAGAAAACUGGUGGGUGGGUUUCUGUCUAGGAGCUAAACCAGAAAUUUGCCCUAGGGUUUGGCUGCAGUUCAGCUUUGGGGAGCCCAUCACCCCAUCUGUCCCACCAGCUUCCCCCAGUAACGGGCACA